AAAAGACAAAGGCGAACUAUCCGAAGUGUGGGGCGCAAAGCCUAGGGUCUAAGGCGAGAAGAUUUUAUGAAUCUCCACGUUAUGAUAGCCUGGUUACCGGA
rnacentral:ncRNA from 1 species